rnacentral:rRNA from 1 species
CGCGUGAGUAACCUGCCUUACACAAGGGGAUAGCCUCUGGAAACGGAGAAUAAUACCCUAUGAAACUAUCAGAGCGCAUGCAUUGGUAGUCAAAGUGCUUAGCGGUGUAAGAUGGACUUGCGUCUGAUUAGCUAGUUGGUGAAUUAACAGCUCACCAAGGCAACGAUCAGUAGCCGGCUUGAGAGAGUGUACGGCCACAUUGGGACUGAGACACGGCCCAG